AUUGAACGCUGGCGGCAUGCCUUACACAUGCAAGUCGAACGGCAGCACGGGAGCAAUCCUGGUGGCGAGUGGCGAACGGGUGAGUAAUGUAUCGGAACGUGCCCAGUCGUGGGGGAUAACGCAGCGAAAGCUGUGCUAAUACCGCAUACGAUCUAUGGAUGAAAGCGGGGGAUCGCAAGACCUCGCGCGAUUGGAGCGGCCGAUAUCAGAUUAGGUAGUUGGUGGGGUAAAGGCCCACCAAGCCGACGAUCUGUAGCUGGUCUGAGAGGACGACCAGCCACACUGGCACGGGGACACGGUCCAGACUCCUACGGGAGGCAGCAGUGGGGAAUUUUGGACAAUGGGCGCAAGCCUGAUCCAGCAAUGCCGCGUGCAGGAUGAAGGCCUUCGGGUUGUAAACUGCUUUUGUACGGAACGAAACGGUUCUCUCUAAUACAGGGGGCUAAUGACGGUACCGUAAGAAUAAGCACCGGCUAACUACGUGCCAGCAGCCGCCGUAA
rnacentral:rRNA from 1 species